rnacentral:tRNA from 1 species
GGGCAUAGCUCAGUGGUAGAGCGUGUGCUUAGCAUGUAUGAGGUCCUGGGUUCAAUCCCCAGUACCUCCA